AUUGAACGCUGGCGGAAUGCUUUACACAUGCAAGUCGAGCGGCAGCGCGGGGCAACCUGGCGGCGAGCGGCGAACGGGUGAGUAAUACAUCGGAACGUACCCAGUUGUGGGGGAUAGCCCGGCGAAAGCCGGAUUAAUACCGCAUACGACCUGAGGGUGAAAGGGGGGGAUCGCAAGACCUCUCGCAGUUGGAGCGGCCGAUGGCGGAUUAGCUAGUUGGUAGGGUAAAGGCCUACCAAGGCGACGAUCCGUAGCGGGUCUGAGAGGACGGCCCGCCACACUGGAACUGAGCCACGGUCCCGACUCCCACGGGAGGCAGCAGUGGGGAACUUUGGACAAUGGGGGCAACCCUGAUCCAGCCAUUCCGCGUGAGUGAAGAAGGCCUUCGGGUUGUAAAGCUCUUUCGGCAGGAACGAAACGGUCCUUUCUAAUAAAGAGGGCUAAUGACGGUACCUGAAGAAGAAGCACCGGCUAACUACGUGCCAGCCGCCGCAGUAAAAC
rnacentral:rRNA from 1 species